AAAAAGAGGACGUAAUUUCUGUCGCAGCGAAUCUAAUAAUUCAUCGUUCCCGCGCGUCCGCGAUACGGGCCUGACAGCUGUCAGCGCGAAUAAUCGGAGCACUGCGCGCUCAGCGAGGGGGUGAGGAGACGGUGGGAGGCGCACUCGCGCUUCGCGCGCACAGCGGGUGGGCGCGCAGUAGCGAGAGGUGCGCGGAUCGAGCAAGACGUGUCCGCGCGUCCGUCCAGGCGCGGCGAUAUGUGCGGGCGUGUAUGCGAGACGAGAUCAUGUGAAUAAGAUCCGCGGCCCGGCGGCACGCACCUUCGACGACGUCACAACAUACGCGGUGUCGUGGUAUCGCGCGCGACGUACAAUUUUUCGAGGAGGAACUCCGUCGCGGAACUCAGCUGCACCUUCUGCACGCGCGAGUCGGCCCGUUCGUGCUGCGCCGUCGUUAUUAACGUGUACAUAUAUAUAUUUCUCGCGUACGUACACGGAACGGACACACGUGUGCGCGAGAAGACGGACGUUUCUCAAGUAUUAUGCGCGAAUGGGCGUAUUAUUCUGGAUCGAGGGUACCGAAUCGCUCGUCGAUACGAUAAUAGUGCGCGCGAGAGACGGACGUCCAGCGGGAACGGCGAUAACGGUGACAAGUGCGCCGCGAAAGGGACAGGGACGGAGAUAGAGCGAGCGAGGGACAGUGUGUAUGUGUGUGUGGGAGUGCGAGAGAGAGAAAUUGAGGUAGAAGAGGACGCAGUGAGGGAAUGGAGAACGCCAUGCAGCCGCCACCCCCUCCACCAGCCUUCGACAUGCCACAGAGCAGCAACACCGAGCAGACGGUCACCCACGAGUUGACAUUCGAGAAUAUUGACGGACCAGAUCAUCCAUCGAACUAGAGGGCAUAUCUAUCUAAUGAUCUAUUUUUUGUGACUCACCAGUCAUGACAUACACAUAGUACACAUCGUACACAUUUUCGAAGAUUUGUACCGAGUCACAAAAGAGACUUUCCUAGCUGUCUAAGGCAAAGCUCAGCAAUUA